rnacentral:rRNA from 1 species
GACGAACGCUGGCGGCGUGCCUAACACAUGCAAGUCGAGCGAGUGGAGUUCUUCGGAACAAAGCUAGCGGCAGACGGGUGAGUAACACGUGGGCAACCUGCCUCAUAGAGGGGAAUAGCCUUCCGAAAGGGAGAUUAAUACCGCAUAAGAUUGUAGCUUCGCAUGAAGUAGCAAUUAAAGGAGUAAUCCGCUAUGAGAUGGGCCCGCGGCGCAUUAGCUAGUUGGUGAGGUAACGGCUCACCAAGGCGACGAUGCGUAGCCGACCUGAGAGGGUGAUCGGCCACAUUGGGACUGAGACACGGCCCAGACUCCUACGGGAGGCAGCAGUGGGGAAUAUUGCACAAUGGGGGAAACCCUGAUGCAGCAACGCCGCGUGAGUGAUGACGGCCUUCGGGUUGUAAAGCUCUGUCUUCAGGGACGAUAAUGACGGUACCUGAGGAGGAAGCCACGGCUAACUACGUGCCAGCAGCCGCCGUAA